GAUGAAGAACGCAGCGAAAUGCGAUACUUGGUGUGAAUUGCAGAAUCCCGUGAACCAUCGAGUCUUUGAACGCAAGUUGCGCCUCAAGCUAUUAGGUUGAGGGCACGUCUGCCUGGGCGUCACAUAUCGUUGCCUGAUGCCAGUUUCCUCGUGAUGGGUGACUGUGCAGGGCGAAUGAUGGCUUCCCGUGAGCAUUGUUGCCUCAUGGUUGGUUGAAAAUUGAGUCCUUGGUAGGGAGCGCCGUGAUAGAUGGUGGUUGAGUGACGAACGAGACCCAAUCAUGUGAGACCCCUACCGAAUUUGGCCUUCAUGACCCACAUGCGUCUUUGGAACGCUCAUGACGAGACCUCAGGUCAGGCGGGGCUACCCGCUGAGUUUAAGCAUAUCAAUAAGCGGAGGA
rnacentral:misc_RNA from 1 species